UGGAAAAAAAUUCGUAACUCUCUUCACCAUAUCCUCCCAAAUCUUCAAAAUACCAUAUCUCCUUCAUUUCAAGUCCGAAUUGAGCGAUUCUUGCGGCCACGGAACGAGAAAAUGAUUUUCUACUGAUCUAUGGCUUCAAUUUGAGAUCGGACGAGCGACUAUCGACGAGGCUUGAGAAAAAAAAAACGGAUCGAGAUAUCGUCAUGCUUAUUUGAAGAGUUUGGAUAGCAAGUGGGAUAGUAUGAUAUGAUUUGAAGAGUCAAGCUUCCGAAAUUUUAAUUCUCGGAAGUCAUCUGUACAAGAAGAAAAGAAGGUUUUCAUUCUAGCAGUCCGCAGUAGUCUAGAUAUUUUAACUAGAAUUUUGUAUAACGCGUUUUAACUCUGAUAUUAUUUGUAAAUGGUGUCACAUGUAUUUUAAUAUAUGAAAUAUGUUUUGAUU